rnacentral:lncRNA from 1 species
AUCUAGAAGGACUUGACAAAGGAAAAACAAUGUACCUAAACUUCGUCAAAGCUGAAACAUCAACUCCUUGUGGUUUACCAAUCAGAACUGUCCUCACUAGCUACUACAAGAGCAAACAUUUCCAGUGCCGACCUUACGAUCCAUUCAACGACUUAACCAGUCCCAUCCAAACCAUCCUUUGUGAAGACAGCAACCAAAGCAUGUACUGUCAGUUGCUUGCCGCUCUUAUUCACCGUCACAAAGUCAUGCGUCUCGGAGCUGUCUUCGCUUCAGCCUUUCUCCGUGCAAUCUCUUAUCUCGAGCGAAAAUGGAGCCAGCUCUGCCAAGACAUCCGCACCGGCCAUCUCAGUCCCAUGAUCACCGAUCCAGGAUGCCAGACGGCUAUGACUUCUCUUCUAGCCUCGCCAAAUCCUGACUUAGCUGACGAGGUUGAAGAAAUCUGUGGACGCCCGUCGUGGAAAGGGAUUCUGUGUCAACUCUGGCCUCAAGCAAAGUUCAUUGAAGCAGUAGUGACAGGCUCAAUGGCUCAGUACAUACCAGCGCUUGAGUUCUUUAGCCAAGGCAAGAUUCCGUUGGUUUGUCCAAUGUAUGCUUCCUCCGAGACUUACUUUGGAGUCAACGUGAAGCCACUCUCCAAGCCAUCUGACGUCGUUUUCACGCUCUUGCCCAACAUGUGCUACUUCGAGUUCAUUCCUCUCGGCAAAAACGGAACUCUCUCUUUUGACGUAGAGGACGAAGAAGUCGUCCCCUGUGACAAAGUGGUUGACUUGGUCGACGUCAAACUCGGACGCUACUAUGAACUCGUCGUCACAACCUUCGCAGGUAAAGAAACUGGUGGCAUUGUCUUCUCCUUUUUAGUCAGCUCUGACUCUUGCAUGGAAACAGGAUUGUACCGUUACAGAAUCGGCGAUGUCCUUCAAGUGGCGGGGUUCUACAACAAAGCACCACAGUUCAGGUUUAUCUGCAGGAGAAACGUGGUUCUAAGCAUCGACUUAGACAAAACCAACGAGGAAGAUCUUCACAGGAGCAUCACGCUGGCCAAGAAGAAGCUUGAAAACAAGGCAUUCCUCGCGGAGUACACGAGCUACGCGGAUACUUCAUCAGUGCCAGGUCACUACGUGCUCUUCUGGGAGAUCCAAUGGCUCGAACCUGAUGAUGAGGAGGAGAAGCUGCUGAUGGAAGAGUGCUGCAUUGCGGUUGAGGAAGAGCUGGAUUACAUAUACAGGCAAUGCAGGAAGAGAGAUAGAUCGGUGGGGCCUUUAGAGAUAAGAGUGGUGAAGCCAGGGACGUUCGAGAAGCUGAUGGAUAUGAUAAUAAGCCAAGGAGGGUCGCUUAAUCAGUACAAAACGCCGAGAUGUGUUAAGUCCAACAGUGCUAUGCUCAAGCUCUUGGACGGCCACGUGACCGGUUCCUUCUCUAGCCCUCGUGAUCCAACCUGGUCCCCUUGAUGUCGAACGUAUGUAUUGAUCGGAGAGACUAUAAUUUACUAAUCAGUAUUCGGUAAUAACCAAAUGGGAUCGGAUUUGCUGUAAUGCUAGCAGUAGCAGGCAUGUAAUGCUACUACCUGAUUGAUUAAAAAAUGUUAUAAGAAACUUCAUUUACCGAGUUAUCUAUCUCUUAUAGUUCCUUUCAGUUUCUCGUCGCAUAAUAUAACUUUAGUACCGAGUUACUUAUAUCGUAUGAUUUACAAUAUAUUAAGGAAUUUUAAGACGAUCAUCAUCCUCAAGCCCUCUUGAAACAAAAGCUACUGUGGGAUUCUUUUUUUGUAUUCUCUGGCAUGGCUUCUGAGGAAGAGUUGUAUUCAUUGGGUGUUUGAAGUGUGUUUCCCGGCCCAAACAUAUAACACAAGAGUCCAAUCUGUUUAUCCAACUGUCGUUGGUUACAAAUUUAAUUACAUCAUCAUCCACUUUGUCGGCACUUAAUCUUAUCAGGAUCAUGGAUAAAUGCCAUGUGAUCUGUGAACAUGGCUUCUUAACGGACAGAAACCCCACGUACGCUGUCUCCCAAAACUUGAUUCGGAUAAUACUGAAAUGAAAAAGCAAUUAUUAUGAUUGUUUUUUGAUUUUUCUCUUGUGUUGAACAUAUAUAGUCAGCCAAAAGACAUGAAGCGCAUCUGGUGUAGUGGUAUCAUAGUACCCUCCCACGGUACUGACCAGGGUUCGAUUCCCUGGAUGCGCAUUUUUUUGUGCAAGAGUGUUCCGGUUUGGUUUGCAUAGGUUUUUUGGGCUUGGUUAAGGAUUAGUAGUGGAAACUGGCUUAGAUGCAUUCAGAUUAUCCAUCUCUUGGCCUAGAUUCCCAGUUAGUCUCUUAAACUUAUGCUCCUCUCUUUCCAUUUUCUUUAACUGGAAGGGAACCAAUUAAGAUCAUGAGCUCUUGUCUCAUUAAUUAGAAGGAAGAGGUCUUGUUAAGCCGAAAGGUCUAGAGUUCUACAAGAACUAAUAUAUUCAGUAUUGGAGGCUACAAAAAUGGGGGGUACAAAACCACCUGGUCGUUGUUCGGCCUGCUUCUCAGGGAACUCUUCCACUGAACCAUAUAUGGUAGCACAUAACUUGCUGCUUGCCCACGCCUCUGCUUCUAGACUAUAUAAGCAAAAGUACAAGGUAAUAUUUCAAAGUCCGGUAAUUGAAUAUGAUAAAGCUUAUUGUUUAGCUGCAUGAUCUCAGUUGUUUUAUUGCACAGCAUACACACAACACAUAAAAAAAAGAGCAGGAGGUACAUAACCUAAUAAUAAUGAUAAUAAGCAACAAAGGAACAAAUCAUUUAUGUCAAACGAAGGAAAAAUCUCAGGGAUGUAACAAAAGCACCAUAUGUCACUGCUUCUGGAGGUGAAGAACCUUAACCCAAGCAGGCCUGGCAGUGAUCUUCUUGAUCCACUCCUUAACCUUAGGGCGAGACUCAAAGAGCUUCUUGGAGUCGGUACCCAUCAAGUAAUAGAUGAUUGGGAGGUGGUGAAGAUCAGCCAGAGUGAAGCAAUCACCAGCCAAGAAGGGUGAUUUGGAGAGCCUGGCCUCGUAGAUAUCCAAGACCUUCACCAACUUAGCUUCGAGGUCUUCCACAGCGGCAGGGUCAGUGGUCAUGCCAAGCAUGCCUUUGAAGACACGCUCGAAGGCUAGCUUAGAGGCGAUAGGGUCAAACUGUUGACCUUCAACUUGAAGCCAGACCUUUGUGGUGGCCUUGAGUUUCUUGCAGCCUUGGCAGAGAAGCUUCUCGCCUUUGUCGCUGUACUCCUCCGCUAUGUACUCUGUGAUGGCUCUUGACUCUGAAAAACAAAAAUGAAUUCAUGUGUAUCAUUGAUACUUAACCAACACGUAAUGAAAACAGAUUAAGAAAAAAAAGGAACUAACCGAAAAGCGUCAGAUCACCGUCUAGGAGAGCAGGGAUUUGACCGAAGGGCUAAAAAAAAGAAAAAGGAAAGAGCAGAGUGGUCAGAUAUGUGAAUGUGAUGAUGAAAACCAAAUUAACCAAAGCUGUGUAGAGAGUUAUUACGUACGUUGAGGGAGAUGAGAGGCUCCUGCUUGUGAGCACCGGCUUUCAUGUCGACGGGGACUAUCUCGAAAUCGAGGCCCUUCUCGUAAAGAGUAGCCAGAACGCGCAUUGUGGCCGUUGAUAUUGGAAGUCCGUGUACUUUGAUGCCGCCGCCCAUGCUUAUAAGCUUUUAAUUGGAUCUGAAGGGGUGAAUGGUGGUGCAUGGUGUUUUAUAGGUGGAGGAGGAGGCAAGGCAAGAGAAGAAUAAGUCGUUGUUGCCAUUCUUUUCGUUUGCACAAACUUCUCACCACCACAUCACCACGUCUCCUCUUCCUCCUCCUUCUCCCACUUUCUCUCUGUUUAUUUGUAACCUCUAUUUUUUUUUUUUAUCGUUUUAACCCAUUUGGUUUUGUAACUACAGAUUCAUAUACAUACAUAAAAUAAAUAAAGAAGUUAACGUUGGUUAUGCCCCCAUGCAUGUUUAAGAAAAGUAAUUUAAUAUUUCAUGCAUGGUAUCAGGUAUCAAUCCACCAAAUUUGUUUAACGAUGGUAACGUUUUAAAUUUGAUUUAUAUCCGAAUUUAACGUUUAGGAUGGUUAUACCUAAUAUCAGUCAACAAAAAGAUAAAAUAAAAUAGAUAGAUAGAUAUAUAUUAGCGCCUAUUCAAAUCACAAAACAACAAGUGUAGGUCGGUGUAUAUGGGGUACAUAAAAAAAAUAUGUGGUGGAGGCAUAUGUUGGGUAUAAUAAUUACACCAAUCAAAAGAGAGCAUAAUCUAACGAGGACCAUCCACGUAAUAAAAAAAUAUCGCAUUCAUUCCUUACUCUUUCAGUUGUACUUGUAUACAAACUCCUUUCUAAAUUUUAUAAUCGGGAUCGAUCUCUCUUUCUCUGAAACAUUUUGGAAACUUCUAGGUAAGGCUUCUUCAUUCCAAAGCAAGACCACAAUUUUUCUUCAUGGCCACCGGAGAGGAGAAACCUGUUAUGGUCGUCGGUAUCGACGAAAGCGAGCAGAGCACUUACGCCUUGGAGUGGACCCUCGAUCGUUUCUUCACUCCCUACGCUCCUAAUUUUCCUUUCAAGCUCUUCAUCGUCCACGCCAAACCUAACGCCGUCUCUGCCGUUGGUCUUGCUGGUCCCGGUACCCUCUUUUGAUUGACUAGCUAGGAACUGUCUUCUUCUAUCUAGGUUUCUCUGUUUCAGAUAUAUAUCAUUUGCGGUUUCUUUUUUCUUUUUAGGAGCUGCGGAGGUUCUGCCUUAUGUUGAUACCGAUUUGAAGCAUAUUGCUGCCAGGGUUAUCGAGAUGGCUAAAGGUAUCUGUCAGAGCAAAUCGGUAAGUAUUCACUCAUUAAUUCUUCGACUAUUUCAUAAAGGAUAAUUAUAAGAGAGCGUAUACAAUGAUGUUUCAAUGUUUGAUGAGCUAUAUUUGUUUUGAAUCUCUACAUCAUUCAAGCUUAGAUACUCCUUAUAGUUUUUUCCUUCUUUACUUUAUAAUUGAUCUUUUAUAUUUUUUUGUUUUUUUUUGUAAAAGUAAUUUAUCUAUUUUUAGUUACGUACUAGCUUCUUCUCAAUCAUUGAUUCUCUAGGUUUGUGCCGUGUAGGUUAAUGGCGCUAUGUUCGAAGUUUUUGAAGGUGAUGCAAGAAGUAUACUGUGCGAUGUUGUGGAUAAACAUCAUGCUUCUCUUCUUGUCGUGGGAAGCCAUGGUUAUGGAGCUAUCAAGAGGUAUAUAAUAUCUUUGUGUAUUUAAUUAUUAUAAUACUCACAAUCAUCAAUCUUGACUAUUUUUCUCGGCUUUAAUUCCCGACUCCUAUCACAGGGCGGUUCUAGGGAGCGUGAGCGACUACUGUGCUCAUCAUGCUCAUUGCUCGGUGAUGAUCGUGAAGAAGCCUAAGAUCAAGCACUGAUGAUCACCUAAACCCAAGCUGUUAUAUCAGUCAAAGCAAAGCAAAGUCUCAUCUGCAUAGUCGUCAGUUUCGGUGAAAUGAAAUAAAAUUGUGAAACGAUCCAAUCUAUAUAUUAAUAUUCGUGUGUAAAUUGGUUAUUGUAUUCAUAAACUAUUUUAUAUAUUGACGUUUGAUAAUACUAUUGUGGUUAUCUGCUUACCUACAAACAAGUAAACAAAAUAAGUUUUAAAAAACCUCAUAUGAGUGAGAAGACUGUUAUGGAUGAAUAUUGUUGGCUAAUGAUUCAGGGACAUGGAUAUAUCCGAAUAAAAUAAAAAAAAGAGAAGUGUUGAGACCAAUGUCAUUGUCUGGUUUUCAACAAGGGGAGGCAUGAUGACAUAUAUGUGAAAAAAGAUUAUUACCGCAUCGGCUUUCGAAAAGGCAGACUAAUUCGGAGAGAGAGAGAGAGCGACUGAGAUGAUUUUUGUUUGACAUUUUUCGAAAACGAGAUUUUUUUUGUUGUGUUCCGUCCGAUUGAGGCUUGGUGGAGACAUGGCCGGAGCUAAUGAUGAUGAUUAUGAUCGUAACAACCGCCGGAUUGCUAACUGAUAUAUUUCAAGGACAAAGCUAAUACCCAUUUCUGGGUAUGCAAAUAUGGCUAACCCACUAUAAAUACACAUUCUUGUUUUGAGUCCUGAGGCAUUCAUCACCUCUCUUCUUCUUCAUCCUUCUUCUAUAUUUUUUCUUUGGUUUAAGCUGGGAAAUGGAUGUACUGAAGUUUGAUUACAACCACAAGGGUGACAAUGCAUUAAAGGAGCUCGAGAGGAUCACCUCGAAGGCUGCUGAAGUCCAAGAUAAUAUGUUAAGUGGGAUCUUAGAAAGAAACAAGGACACACAGUACUUGAGAAAGUACAUGAAAGGCUCUAAGGACGUUAUGGAGUUUAAACGCUCUGUGCCAGUCAUCACGUACAAAGAUGUAUGUCCUUACAUUCAGAGAAUUGCAAAUGGAGAAGACUCUUCUCUGAUUACUGGUCAUCCUAUCACUGAGAUACUAUGCAGGUCGAUUUUUAUUUCUAGCCUGAAUCUCUUUCUUAGUAACAGCCUCCCCUUCCUUUGUGUUUGAAUAUAAAUUUGUGUAUGGCUAAAUAAAUGUAUCUGCUUGCUUUCAUGUUGCAGCUCAGGAACUUCUGGUGGAGAGCCGAAGCUAAUGCCAACCAUUUCGGAAGAUCUUGAUCGGCGCACCUUUGUCUACAAUCUUAUCAAUCCAAUCGCGAACAAGUUAGUACAAUGUUUCCUGUUAAUAUUCAGUCCUGAUAUACUUUAACAUCCUCCUUGUUGCUCUUAUAAGAGUAGUGAUUAGUGAAGAAGGAAUUACAUCUUCCAUGCACAUGAAUAUUUACUUGAUAAAAAACAAAGUGGCUGAUCUCAUAUUCCAUAAAAGAACCACUAGGACUGUUCCUGUAGUUGUAGGAUAGUGGAUAUGUCUCAAAAUCUGACCUAUGGAAGUGGAAGUACACAUCACAUCACAAUUCCUCCAUGUUAUUAUCCACUGGAAACAUUUAAUAAAAAAGGAAAAAAAUUAAAAAGGUUAACGAUAGGCUUCAAUGUGAAUAUGGCUUCAUAAUCAUUGUAGGCACUAACAUAUGGAAUCUGGAUACACAUGCAUAGAUGUACUGGCCGUGGUACCAAUAAAUCUUCAUAGUAGGUUGCUCACUAAGGAAGUUUGCUUUCUGCUUUGAGUUUUGUGUUUGCUUUUUGUGGAAAUUAAGUGGUAUCAUGUCAUGUACUAUAAAGUUUGCAUCCAUCAUCUUUUAUCCACACGCCAUUUUGAUGUCCCCACCCAAAGAUUCUCUGAGAAUUUUGAACAGCACUUACUAAACCUCAAGAAUCUUUUCAUAUCCACUACUGAUUUUUCUUUUCUUUCAUUUUACCUCUUUUACCAUCGUCUCUCUUUACUAUGUUUUUGACUGAGAUUUAUUAUAUGUAUUACUGACAGGUAUCUAGAAGGACUUGACAAAGGAAAAACAAUGUACCUAAACUUCGUCAAAGCUGAAACAUCAACUCCUUGUGGUUUACCAAUCAGAACUGUCCUCACUAGCUACUACAAGAGCAAACAUUUCCAGUGCCGACCUUACGAUCCAUUCAACGACUUAACCAGUCCCAUCCAAACCAUCCUUUGUGAAGACAGCAACCAAAGCAUGUACUGUCAGUUACUUGCCGCUCUUAUUCACCGUCACAAAGUCAUGCGUCU